UUUCCCUUAAUAAACUUCUCCUCCACUGAUGCCUUAUAUUUCCUUUUUUUCCUUCCUAAUCUCGUUUAGGAUAUUCAACAGAAGAUUAAUAUACUUCUGUUCUAUCUAGGUUCAGAGCCCUCUUAAUGACUAUCUUGUUUUGGAAGGACGAAGAGAUGCUUUGGAAGUAAAAGUUGUCAACGACAAGCCUGACAUCACCCAAAGACCAGCUCUUUUUACAGUAAACCAGGAUGCAGCUGACAAGACAGACUCCAGUAAGAAUCCUCAGUGUUGAUCAAGCAAGUCCACAUCUAACCCAUCUAGAGUGGGAAUCAUCU